AGCAGUAGCCGCGGUAAUACGGAGGGAGCUAGCGUUGUUCGGAAUUACUGGGCGUAAAGCGCGCGUAGGCGGUUACUCAAGUCAGAGGUGAAAUCCCAAGGCUCAACCUUGGAACUGCCUUUGAUACUGGUUGUCUUGAGUCCGGGAGAGGUGAGUGGAACUGCGAGUGUAGAGGUGAAAUUCGUAGAUAUUCGCAAGAACACCAGUGGCGAAGGCGGCUCACUGGCCCGGAACUGACGCUGAGGCGCGAAAGCGUGGGGAGCAAACAGGAUUAGAUACCCCCGUAGUCCCUGUCUCUUAUAC
rnacentral:rRNA from 1 species